GACGAACGCUGGCGGCGUGCUUAACACAUGCAAGUCGAGCGAUGAAGUUCCUUCGGGAAUGGAUUAGCGGCGGACGGGUAAGUAACACGUGGGUAACCUGCCUCAUAGAGGGGAAUAGCCUUCCGAAAGGAAGAUUAAUACCGCAUAAGAUUGUAGUGCCGCAUGGCAUAGCAAUUAAAGGAGUAAUCCGCUAUGAGAUGGACCCGCGUCGCAUUAGCUAGUUGGUGAGGUAACGGCUCAACAAGGCGACGAUGCGUAGCCGACCUGAGAGGGUGGUCGGCCACAUUGGGACUGAGACACGGCCCAGACUCCUACGGGAGGCAGCAGUGGGGAAUAUUGCACAAUGGGGGAAACCCUGAUGCAGCAACGCCGCGUGAGUGAUGAAGGUCUUCGGAUUGUAAAACUCUGUCUUCAGGGACGAUAAUGACGGUACCUGAGGAGGAAGCCACGGCUAACUACGUGCCAGCCGCCGCAGUAAAAC
rnacentral:rRNA from 1 species